rnacentral:rRNA from 1 species
AGAACGAACGCUGGCGGCAGGCUUAACACAUGCAAGUCGAGCGCUGUAGCAAUACAGAGCGGCGCACGGGAGAGUAAUACAUGGGAACCUACCUUUUGGUUCGGGAUAACGUCGGGAAACUGACGCUAAUACCGAAUAAGUCCUUCGGGAGAAAGAUUUAUCGCCGAAAGAUGGGCCCAUGUUGGAUUAGCUAGUUGGUGAGGUAACGGCUCACCAAGGCUACGAUCCAUAGCGGGUCUGAGAGGAUGAUCCGCCUCACUGGGACUGAGACACGGCCCAGACUCCUACGGGAGGCAGCAGUGGGGAAUAUUGGACAAUGGGGGCAACCCUGAUCCAGCCAUGCCGCGCGAGUGAUGAAGGCCUUGGGUUGUAAAGCUCUUUUGGUGGGGACGAUGAUGACGGUACCCACAGAAUAAGCUCCGGCUAACUUCGUGCCAGCAGCCGC